rnacentral:rRNA from 1 species
GAUGAACGCUGGCGGCGUGCCUAAUACAUGCAAGUCGAGCGAACAGACGAGGAGCUUGCUCCUCUGACGUUAGCGGCGGACGGGUGUGUAACACGUGGAUAACCUACCUAUAAGACUGGGAUAACUUCGGGAAACCGGAGCUAAUACCGGAUAACAUGUUGAACCGCAUGGUUCAACAGUGAAAGACGGUUUUGCCGUCACUUAUAGAUGGAUCCGCGCCGCAUUAGCUAGUUGGUAAGGUAACGGCUUACCAAGGCAACGAUGCGUAGCCGACCUGAGAGGGUGAUCGGCCACACUGGAACGGAGACACGGUCCAGACUACUACGGGAGGCAGCAGUAGCGAAUCUUCCGCAAUGGGCGAAAGCCUGACGGAGCAACGCCGCGUGAGUGAAGAAGGUCUUCGGAUCGUAAAACUCUGUUAUUAGGGAAGAACAAAUGUGUAAGUAACUAUGCACGUCUUGACGGUACCUAAUCAGAAAGCCACGGCUAACUACGUG